rnacentral:rRNA from 1 species
AGAGUUUGAUCAUGGCUCAGGAUGAACGCUGGCGGCGUGCCUAAUACAUGCAAGUCGAGCGAACGUCAUAGAAGCUUGCUUCUAUGACGUUAGCGGCGGACGGGUGAGUAACACGUGGGCAACCUGCCUGUAAGACUGGGAUAACUUCGGGAAACCGAAGCUAAUACCGGAUAGGAUCUUCUCCUUCAUGGGAGAUGAUUGAAAGAUGGUUUCGGCUAUCACUUACAGAUGGGCCCGCGGUGCAUUAGCUAGUUGGUGAGGUAACGGCUCACCAAGGCAACGAUGCAUAGCCGACCUGAGAGGGUGAUCGGCCACACUGGGACUGAGACACGGCCCAGACUCCUACGGGAGGCAGCAGUAGGGAAUCUUCCGCAAUGGACGAAAGUCUGACGGAGCAACGCCGCGUGAGUGACGAAGGCCUUCGGGUCGUAAAGCUCUGUUGUUAGGGAAGAACAAGUACCGUUCGAAUAGGGCGGUACCUUGACGGUACCUAACCAGAAAGCCACGGCUAACUACGUGCCAGCAGCCGCGCUAAUACGUAGGUGGCAAGCGUUGUCCGGAAUUAUUGGGCGUAAAGCGCGCGCAGGCGGUUUCUUAAGUCUGAUGUGAAAGCCCCCGGCUCAACCGGGGAGGGUCAUUGGGAAA